CCUACGGGAGGCAGCAGUGGGGAAUAUUGGACAAUGGGGGCAACCCUGAUCCAGCCAUGCCGCGUGUGUGGAGAAGGCCCUCGGGUUGUAAAGCACUUUCAGCGAGGAAGAACGCCUAGCGGUUAAUACCCGCUAGGAAAGACAUCACUCGCAGAAGAAGCACCGGCUAACUCCGUGCCAGCAGCCGCGGUAAUACGGAGGGUGCAAGCGUUAAUCGGAAUUACUGGGCGUAAAGCGCGCGUAGGUGGCUUGAUAAGCCGGUUGUGAAAGCCCCGGGCUCAACCUGGGAACGGCAUCCGGAACUGUCAAGCUAGAGUGCAGGAGAGGAAGGUAGAAUUCCCGGUGUAGCGGUGAAAUGCGUAGAGAUCGGGAGGAAUACCAGUGGCGAAGGCGGCCUUCUGGACUGACACUGACACUGAGGUGCGAAAGCGUGGGUAGCAAACAGGAUUAGAUACCCUGGUAGUCCACGCCGUAAACGAUGUCGACCAGCCGUUGGGUGCCUAGCGCACUUUGUGGCGAAGUUAACGCGAUAAGUCGACCGCCUGGGGAGUACGGCCGCAAGGUUAAAACUCAAAUGAAUUGACGGA
rnacentral:rRNA from 1 species